UGGGGAAUAUUGCACAAUGGGGGAAACCCUGAUGCAGCGACUCCGCGUGAAGGAAGAAGUAUCUCGGUAUGUAAACUUCUAUCAGCAGGGAAGAUAGUGACGGUACCUGACUAAGAAGCCCCGGCUAACUACGUGCC
rnacentral:rRNA from 1 species